AUGCAUACAAUUGCGUUUAAAGCUUUUGAAAAUCUAGAAGAUAUUGUCGCUCGACCAUCUUCUUCCAAGUCCAUGCUUACAGAGUACUUUGAGAUGAACCAAAAAUUUCCAGCGGCACGGAAAUGGUUGUAUAGAGAGUUUCCAGAACAUUAUAGAUGGGUAGCUGGGAAAAAGAUGUCACAGAAUAGAAGAAAUAAGAGAGCACAGAUUGGAAGACUUGUGUAUGCACACCCUGCUGAAGGAGAGAGGUACUGCUUGUGUGUGCUCCUAAGUCAUGUCCGGGGUGCCACUUCAUUUGAUGAUUUGAAAACAGUAAAUGGCAAGCCAUGCAUUUCCUUCAGGGAGGCAUGUGAGCACUUAGGCCACAUUGAGCAUGAUAGGAGUCUUGAUGAUUGCAUGAUGGAGGCUGCCACAUUUCAGAUGCCUUGUGUCUUAAGACGGUUAUUUGCAACUAUACUGGUAUUCUGCGAGGCAACAGAAAUCCGACAGAUGUGGGAGAAACAUCUGGCAGCAAUGUCCGAGGACUACGGUCGUAAUCAAUCCAAUGAGGCAAUACUUGAGCAGAUGGUCCUCAGAGAUAUCAGGGAUAUGUUGCAAUCCAUGGGAAAGGAUAUUACAACCUAUGGACUUCCGGAAUUGGUUGAGACUGAUGGUUCUUAUGACGGUGAGUACAGAGAGGUAACAGAGGAGAGGCAAAUCAGCAUGGACAAAGAGCAUCUAGAUUUAUUUACCAGUUUGAACACUGAGCAGCUGGCUGGUUCCAAUGACAUAAUGGAUCAUGUGGUGAACCAAAAAAUCCAGGUAUUCUUUGUUGAUGGUCCAGGCGGCACUGGGAAGACAUACUUGUACAAGGCAUUGCUUGCAAAGUGGGAUGAAGUCGCUAUGACAAAACCUCAAGCAGUUGAGACGCUUGAUAGAUCACUAUAG
rnacentral:rRNA from 1 species